CCAUGGCGGCCGCCGCUCUUGCGGCGUGGCUGGCUCUACAGCCGGGGGCCAGAAGUUUGCGUGCAUUCUCUAUCGCCACGUCCCCACAGGUUCCGAGAUUUAAUCCGCAAAGAACAUCCAAAACUGAACGGCCGCCGAAAAGAAAGGCACUGCCUCCAAGGACAGAGAAAAUGUCUGUUGACCAGGACUGGCCUAGCGUUUACCCUGUUGCAGCGCCAUUUAAACCCUCUACAGUACCUCUUCCUGUCAGAAUGGGGUAUCCAGUAAAAAAGGGCAUGCCCAUGGCCAAGGAGGGCAAUCUAGAACUUUUAAAGAUCCCUAAUUUUCUGCAUUUGACUCCUGUAGCAAUUAAAAAGCAUUGUGAAGCUCUUAAAAGUUUUUGCACUGAGUGGCCAGCUACACUGGACAGUGAUGAGAAAUGUGAAAAGCAUUUUCCAAUUGAAAUUGACACUGCUGAUUAUGUUUCAUCAGGACCAUCUGUUCGAAACCCCAAAGCACGAGUAGUAACCUUAAGGGUGCCCUUUAAAGAGACAGAAUUAUGAUUAUGCAAUGUAUCUACUAACAGUUUUAUAUCAUGAGUCUUGGAAAACUGAAGAAUGGGAAAAAAAUAAGACUGAAGCAGACAUGGAAGAGUAUGUUUGGAAAAACAGCUCCUCAGAAAAAAAUAUCCUGGAAACACUUCUCCAGAUUAAAGCUGCUGAUAAGAAUACAGAAGUAAAUAAAGAAGAGCUCCUUAGUACUAAAGAAGUUGAAGAUUAUAAAAACUGUGUUGUUAGUCUUAAGAACGAGGGGGACAAUGAAAAUUCCCUUUCUCAGUACAAAGAAUCAGUGAAGAGACUAUUAAAUCUGACAUGAAUUACGAAGUAGAAAAAUCUGCUUGAUUUAUUAAUUUUAUGGUAUACAUAAUCAAGAUCUAAUUGGACAUAAAAUUGAAAAUGUUAAAAAA